rnacentral:ncRNA from 1 species
CAAAGGUUUGGUCCUAACUUUGUUGUCGCCUAUAGCUAAAAUUACACAUGCAAGUAUCCGCACCCCUGUGAGAAUGUCCUUAAGCAUCUUAUGAAAUAAAGGAACUGGUAUCAGGCACACAACUGUAGCCCAUAACACCUUGCUCAGCCACACCCCCAAGGGUAUCCAGCAGUGAUAAAUAUUAAGCAAUAAGUUCAAACUUGACUUAGUUAAAGCUAACAGGGCCGGUAAAACUCGUGCCAGCCACCGCGGUUAUACGAGAGGCUCAAGUUGACAGAAACCGGCGUAAAGAGUGGUUAGGUUGUCUACAACUAAAGUCGAAUGCCUCCCAAGCUGUUAUACGCAUUCGGGGGUAAGAAAACCUAAUGCGAAAGUAACUUUAAAAUCCUGACUCCACGAAAGCUAUGGAACAAACUGGGAUUAGAUACCCCACUAUGCAUAGCCCUAAACAUUGAUAUAUUAUUUACCACAUAUCCGCCCGGGGACUACAAGCAUUAGCUUGAAACCCAAAGGACUUGGCGGUGCUUUAGACCCACCUAGAGGAGCCUGUUCUAGAACUGAUAACCCCCGUUAAACCUCACCCCUCCUUGUUUAACCCGCCUAUAUACCGCCGUCGUCAGCUUACCCUGUGAAGGACUUAUAGUAAGCAAGAUUAGCAAAACCCAAAACGUCAGGUCGAGGUGUAGUGUAUGGAGGGGGAAGAAAUGGGCUACAUUCAUCCAAUGAUGAACACGAAUGGUUUGUUGAAAUACAAACCUGAAGGAGGAUUUAGCAGUAAGAGGAAAAUAGAGUGUUCCUCUGAAAUAGGCUCUUAAGCGCGCACACACCGCCCGUCACUCUCCCCUAGUUACUUAAAAAAUUAACUAAAAUACUCAAUUUACAUAAGGGGAGACAAGUCGUAACAUGGUAAGUGUACCGGAAGGUGUACUUGGAAUAU